AGCUUUCUUGGUGUCAAUCUCAUGGUUAUUAAGUUCACAUUGUCAAAAACACAAUAGCCCACUCAGGAAGUCUUUUUGUCAUGUUUAUUAACACAUGUAGAUAUUUUACAAGGCCAGCAGGUUAAACAAAGAAGGGCAGGAGAGGUAGUCACUAUAGUUACCGGCUGUUCUCGUCUAGACGUCUAGUCAGAUGUGUCUGGACAUCGAGCUGUUUGAGCCCCCUAGUGGCGGUCGGCUGUAUUUUCCCCAUAUGCUCCUUUUUGAGCAUGAACAUGUUUGUGGUUAGCUGUUAGCGCUUAGCUUACUAUCAGAGGGCUGAACAAGUCCCAUCUAGCAUUUCACCAAAGGAAUUCAUUCAUUAGGGACAAAUUAUAAGUCAACAAACGGCUGAGGAUAGCGGCUAACAGAGACCUAUCAAAGAGCUCUGAACAACAGACCGGGACUCUAGCAUCCCACCACAGUAUUCAUUCAUUUAGGACAAAAUGGUCAGUCAACAAACUCAUUUCUUUUCACUAGUAAAAUCAAAAUACAUGGUUAAAAUGUGUUAAAGGAAAAUGCGUGGAAAAAUAUAAACAUAUAAACAAAAUCUAUGAAUGUAAUGCUGUUUUUUGUUUGUGAUGACGAUAACUGUGGACCAGGAGUUACAGCAGUGGACCAGGUUUUUAACUCACACACACACACACACACACACACACACACACACACACACACACACACACACACACACACACACAGAGCUCAGGCCUACCGUGGAGUCAUGAGGAAUAAACGAUUCAGAGCUAUUGGACGCGUGAAGAACUGAACACACACAAUAACGCCGCUCCAGAGCUAUGGGGCUUGCGUUGUUGAGUGGUAACUGAAUGGCUGCUGAAGGCUAGCACACACACACACACACACACAGACUGAAUGGCUGCUGAAGGCUUGCACACACACACACACACACACUCAAUGGUUGCUGAAGGCUUGCUGGUCUGCUGUGAUUCGCUCUGAUCAUCAUGCCCUGAUGUAUUCAGGACUCUAUGCUAAGUUAUGCCUGGUGGCUUAAUAGUGAACACACACACUAACUAAGCUAAGUUAUGCAUGGUGGCUCAAUAGUGCAAUGAAAAGCUCUGCUCUGUGACCAUGUAUCGACUCCAGGCAUUCAUUUAGGUAGUCAGACGACAAAAGCUAAACAGAGUAACUCUACAUACAGAGUUCCCUCAACAUGUGCUUCUUGUUAAGUGCUACUAACACACUGUGUGGUUCCUCAGUACUUACUCGAGCUAGCUGCUCUGUCCAAAAAACAAAACUUACAUCCAAAAUACAUUCAUGAGUGGAAAUAUGUGAGGGAAAUAUGGAGUGUGCCUUUAACCCCUUCACUAGCUGAGGGAAAUAUGGAGUGUGCCUUUAACCCCUCCACUAGCUGAGUGCUGCUGUUUGGUCUUAAACAUGGCUGAGUGCAUCUGUGCCAGUUGUGAUGUAAGACUACCGCUUAAACUGACUGGCUGGUGUCUUUAAAGCACAGCAGGUCCCACACACACACAACCCUGUUCUACACACACACACACACACACACACACACACACACACAAACCCCUGUUCUACACUCUAGUCCUGUCCAUCACCAUCAGACUCCUUGGGAAAGACAUGUUCAGCUUCACAUGUUUAGAAAUGCCAUUUAAUUACCAAUUAAACAUUGUAUAAAAAAAACAUGGUUAGCAUAAUCAGAUGUUUGUUUACAAACACAGGAGUGAGAUGGUAACAAGCUGUGCCUGGCGCUGAUGGAGUGUGAAGUAUGUGACGCUGAUAGAAGUGUGACGGAUGUGACGUUGCUGGAGUGUGACGCAUGUGACGUUGCUGGAGUGUGGCGCGUGUGACUUCACUAAACCCUACGCAGUGGGACAGGAAGUAUAACUACAGACCAGUGUGUGUUACUAAUAAAAAAAACAUACAUAAACAAAAAACAACAACAAUGCCAUUAAGACUGGCAUGCAGUGCAUCUUUAGCCCCCCCCCUCCCAACACACACAUACACACACUCACCUCACAACACUCACUUCUCUCACACAAACACACUUCUCUCAGACUCACCUCGCAACACUUACUUCUCUCACACAAACACACACACACACACACACACACACUUCUCUCACUCACCUCACAACACUCACUUCUCCAUCUCACACACACACACACACCUCUUCCACACACACACAGACACACACUUCUCUCACACUCACCUCACAACACUCACCUCUCUUCCACACACACACACACACAUGCUCAAUAUUUUUUUCUUUUUAUACAUUUCUUUACACAAACAGUUUGCCUGGUGGACCCUAUUCAUAGCUCAGUAAGGAGGUGUUCGGGGCCAGCCGGGGUCACGUCACCCAACCAGCUCUUGGCAUUCACAGUUCCUCUGAUGCUGAUUCCGUCAUGCACGCAGCCACCUGAAAAACACACACACACAGAGUGAGGGAAGGUUAAGCUAUAGACCCAGUUGAUAUUAUACUGUG
ensembl:lncRNA